rnacentral:rRNA from 1 species
AUUGAACGCUGGCGGCAGGCCUAACACAUGCAAGUCGAGCGAGCGGCGGACGGGUGAGUAAUGUCUGGGAAACUGCCUGCUGGAGGGGGAUAACUACUGGCAACGGUAGCUAAUACCGCAUACCAUCAGAUGUGCCCCGAUGGGAUUAGCUAGUGGGUGGGGUAACGGCUCACCUCGGAGACGAUCCCUAGCUGGUCUGAGAGGAUGACCAGCCACACUGUGACUGAGACACGGCCCAGACUCCUACGGGAGGCAGCAGUGGGGAAUAUGGGACAAUGGGCGCAAGCCUGAUGCAGCCAUCCCGCGUGUGUGAUGAAGGCCUUCGGGUUGUAAAGCACUUUCAGCGGGGAGGCGUUACCCGCAGAAGAAGCACCGGCUAACUCCGUGCCAGCAGCCGCGGUAAUUC